CGCCUGUUUUACAAAAACAUGUCCUUUUGGGUGAAUAUGAGGUCUGACCUGCCCACUGAUAUUUGAAUGGCCGCAGUAUUUUAACUGUGCAAAGGUAGCAUAAUCAUUAGUCUUUUAAUUGAAGGCUGGUAUGAAUGGUUGGACGAGAUACUAUCUGUUUCACGUAGAGUUAGAUUAGAAUUUUAUUUUUCAGUAAAAAGGCUGAAAUGGUUUUUAAAGACGAGAAGACCCUAUAAAUCUUUAUAGUUGAUUUGUUAUAAUUUUUUAGAUGGGUUGUAUUAUGACAGUUGAUACUAUUUUAUUGGGGUGAUAUUAAAAUUUAAUUAACUUUUAGUUUUUGGUGACAUUAAUUAAUGAUUGAUUGAUCCGUUAAUGACGAUUGGAAAAUUAAGUUACUUUAGGGAUAACAGCGUAAUUUUUUUGGAGAGUUCUUAUCGAUAAAAGUGAUUGCGACCUCGAUGUUGGAUUAAGAGAUAGAUUUGGGUGUAGCAGCUUGAAUUCUAAGUCUGUUCGACUUUUAAUUUCUUACAUGACUUGAGUUCAA
rnacentral:rRNA from 1 species